GUGUGUUCCAUCACUUAUCUGAAUCACUUUAGACAGUUCGGCUGCAGAGAAACAUCAGACAUUGGUGCUGAGACUUCAUUCAGGUUUCAAUCUGAAGAAUGACAGAAAACUACAAUAACAUCACCCACUGGAAUGGCAGCUAUGAAUACUUCGACUAUGAGUAUUACCAAAAAUUACAUUUCAUAAGGCACGUAGUAACAUGCAUCGUCAUUAGUAUCGGCCUUCCUCUGACGCUCAUGGUCAUCUGUGCUCUUUGCUUUCUGGUACGAAAGGAUCAUGUGGCUCCAAUCUACGUCAUCAACCUUCUCAUUACUGACCUCAUUCAGCUCUGCUGCCUGCUCCUUCUGGAGAUAAAUCAGUAUCAUUUACGUGCCAUCGUAGAUUAUAUUUACUAUAGUGGCCUAAUGACCAGUGUUUGCUUCAUGGUGGUUGUCUCACUGGAAAGGUAACUAUAUGUCCUGUAGCUACGUCUGUUUCUGACUUUAAUAUUUCUGACUUAUUCUGCACCUCCUCAAAGACAACGUGUCCAUCUUUUAUUGCAGAUAUCUGGUCAUCGCCCACCCACUGUGGUACCGCUUCAAACGAACCAUCAAGAUCUCUGUGGUGGUCAGUGUCGUGGCCUGGCUCAUUCCUCAUGUUAUUUUCCUCCCUUUGUUUCUCUUCUCUGUGCUUCCGAUGAUUCCUUUAAAAGUGAUAAUUAGCGUCUUCAUCAUUUUCCUCAUCAUUCUCUUCCUACUGUUCAUAUUCUUCCUGGUUGGGACCCUCAGAGCCCUCUCUGCUUCUGUCUCCGUCCCCUUUGAAGAAAAACGUCGAAAUGUUGUAAUCUUGGUCCUGGUGCUGCUCAUUUACACUUAUUUGCUGUUCCUGCCUAUCAUGAUUGUUGUUCUUCUCAUGAACAUAUUUGACCGAACUCUGAAUGUCUUAUCUCUAAUGUUUGUUCACCUGAGUCCUCUUGCAGACUUAAUUCUGUAUGUUUUCUUGAGAAAAGAGUCCAUUGGAAAGCUUUGUACCGCUGUGAACUGGUGCAGAGUUGCCAACGCUGACACCAACAUAUAGACAGUAUGAAUGUGGACAACAUUUUGACAUUGAGCUCCAUGGAGGAAGAGAGAAUGAGGAGAAAACAGACCAAAAUGUUCUCUCAGUUUAGAACAAAUGCAUUUCUUACAAAACUGUAUUUCUUUAGCUUGUUGUUCUUCUUGACAGUUAAGUACACUUUCUACUCUUCUUAACUUUUUAAUCUUCUGAUCAAUAAAAGCUUUACUUGUGCAGUUCAAGUGGUUGGCAUAUCAGCUUUUAGGAUGUGAGAGAAGGUCCUUUUCAUUGUAAAUUUGACAAAAUGAAAUAUUAUAUCACAGUCUUGCUCAUUACAUUUUAAUAAUACUAUGACGUUCAAUAAAUAAAAAUCUGUUUCAAGACAAAAACAGGAAGUUAAUGACUUAUUAAAAUCUAACAAACAUUGCAUUUUGUGAAGCUCACUGUGUGUUUACCUUUUAUAAACUUUGAUUACGCCUAGUUAUGAUCCAACAACAACGCUAAAUGUCAAGAAUAUUUCUCAUCAUGUCAGACUUUUUACUUCAACAACUUGACUUCUGACAAGCUUUUUGGAUAACUGAAAGAUAUCCCCACAGUGACAUUAAGAAUGACGGUAACA